AUCGGGGGCGCCGCGCGACGUCCGGUGCGCGCUCCCGGCCAGCGCGACGCGUGGACGCGCGGGUAACCCGGGCAACGGAGCGGGGGCCCGCGACCUGCAUCCCGGCCUCGUACACCCACACAGCACCAAAGAUGCACAGCACUCCCAGCCAGUGUGGUGCCCCGGCAUUGGGACAGGUGGCGGGUUCUUGGUCCUCCAAAAUAUUCCAAAUGGAAUUUAAACUGGAGGGCAGCACAGUGGUGCAGCAUUAGGGUUGAUACCUUACAGUGGCAGAGACUCUGGUUUGAUCCUGACUGCAGGUGCUGGCUGUACGGAGUUUGUACAUUCUCCCUAUCCCGACUUCGUGGGUUUCCUCUGGGUGCUCCAAUUUCCUCCCACAUUCCAAAGGCGUGCAGCACAGGAGUUGGGAAGCAGCUGGAUCAACAUCUGGUCCCACAACAGAACAGCAGCAUGGCUGAUGUGUCUAACAAAAACACUAUCAUUUGAAUGGGAGUGCCUUCCUAGAUUCAAAAAGGGGAUUUUCAGUAGCUCUUGGAUUGACCUGCGGGACUCUAUUGUGGGGCAGAGGAUGGUCCUGUCUGAGUGAACAAGUGCAUCUCACCUGAUAAGCCUACUGGAAAUGUUGGAGUGAGAGAUUUUCACAGUCAUAAUUGAACUUGUUAUUAAGUGACCCAAGGCCAUGUCAGUUGGGUAAUGUCAACAAAACUGUCCUUUAAGUGUCGCAGAGUCCUGAUCACUGUUAGCCCUAUCAAUCACCAUCACCAUUAGCAGAUUGUCUGCUCAUUCUGCUGUUGGUUGAGACACUGUGAACACCUCGACUGCCACAACAGGGAAUAAGUUCAACAGCAAGUAUUUUGAGAUGUCCUCUGGACACAAUAGGCUCCUUCUCGCACAUUCCACUGUUAUUGUUUGAUUCUUUUGGCGUAGUGCAGUUAAUAAGUGAAAGAUAAGGAGAAACAAAUCAUUUCUACUUAGAAAUUUUAAUUUUUUGCCACAAUUUAUUACAUGUGCACAAAAUAAUUCUGGAUGUUGCUAAAGUUUGACCUGCAAAAAUGAAUGUCUAAUUAAUAAAGAUAUACCUAAAAACUGAAUUUACCACGACUUAUUUAAUUUUUAGCCACAAAAAUGUAAUAAAAAUAAUAAAGUUAAUAACGUUCAAUAAAGAUAAUAAAGAGAUAUA